rnacentral:rRNA from 1 species
UCCCCCCCCACUCCGAUGAAGAUGACGGGUGGAACUUAAGCAUAUCAGUACGCCCAGGAGAAGACACCAACCGGGAUUCCUUGAUUAGCGGCGAGCGAUCCAGGAGUAGUCCGACCUCGAAGCGAUGAGCGUUGUGAGGACUGGGGGGAUGUCCUAAACCCGAAGAUGGGUUGAAACCCACACCAAGGAGGGUGCCAGUCCCGUAGGGAUGGACACAACCCCAACGACGAGUACCUCUGCUUGAGAGUGUAGAGGGAAGAGGAGGUGGUACCCUUCUAAGGCUAAAUACCGCCCCGAGACCGAUAGAGGACCAAGUAGUGCGAACGAAAGGUGAGAAGGAUGCCGACCCAGGCACGUCAAAAGACCCUGAACCCGGGAGGCGACUCCCGACCUGUCGAUGAUCGAUUGGUCGGGCCCGUCUCGAAACACGGACCGAGGAGUUAGGACCGAUCGCGAGUCAUGUGGCAAAGGGAAGUCAAGACUUCAAGGGGCCCCUUACAAGGGCAGAGCGAUCGGUCCUAGACCCGAAAGGUGGUGAUCUACACUUGACCAGGGUGAAGCCAGACGAAAGCCUGGUGGAGGCCCAUCCCGGUGCUGACGUGCAAAUCGCUCGGUCGAGUUGAGUGUAGGGGCGAAAGACUCAUCGAACCACCUGGUAGCUGGUUACCUCCGAAAUGUCUCCCAGGAUAGCCGACAUCAUGAACAGCUGCCCUAGGUAAGGCCACGAUCGGUGGGAGUAGGGAGGUCACUCCUUAUCCACCCCUCGAACCAUGAACAAGGGUGGAGCGGGGCCAACUUGUGUGGGCCCCCUCAACAGUGUUGAUGUCGAGUGGGCCUCUCCUGGUAAGCAGGACGGGCAAGACGGGAUGAACCGACAGUCGGGGGAAGGUGUGGAAGUGUAUGCUCGAUCAAACGGUGUCCGUCGAUCGUGACAGCUGGAAGGUGGCCUUAACAGUAGGAAGCCUCUAAGGAGUGUGUAACAACCCACCAGCCGAAUCGAGGGGCCCGGAAAAUGGAACACGCCGAAGCAUACGAUCGGAACCCGACCGAGAUGUGUCUCGGGUAGGAGGUCGUCAUGAUCGAGUCGAAGCCAUGGGGUGACACGUGGUGGAUCGAGUCAUGAUUGCUGAUCUCGGUAGUAGUAGCCAUUACUCCAUCUGGAGGCCUGACGUGGAGAUGGGUUCCGUAUCCCUGUCGAUCAGAUACGGGUGACACGAUCCUAAGUCCGAUGGUGUACGCCGUACCAUGGGGUCAUCCUCACAGGACGAUAGGGCUGACCGGUUAACAUCCCGGUGGUAUGAUGGGGUCUUGGUGACAUCCUUUCACAACGGUACAUGAACGAAGCACAUGGUGGGAGUCAUCCCGUCCUACCCCAGUCCCCCCAUGGCCAGUAGUACUUCAGGUCGUGCAUGGCCAUGAUGGAUCACAUGUCCCUUCGGUCAUCCAUGAAACCCGUUGUGUCCCCCCCCCAUCCUGAUCGUACCACAACCGCAACAGGACUCCAAGGUGAUCAGCCUCUAGGCGGGAGAGACCAUGACUCAGGGAAGUCGGCAAACUAGCUCCGUAACCUCGGGAGAAGGAGUGGCUCUGAUCGAUCAGAACCGGCACGGACCGAGGGAUCCCGACUGUCUACUAACAACAUAGCGUCGUGCCAGUCGUCAUGGAUGCGUACACGACGUGAUUUCUGCCCAGUGCCAUGACCGUCACCAUGAAGAGGUUCAUCCAAGCCCUGGUAAACGGCGGGAGUAACUAUGACUCUCUUAAGGUAGCCAAAUGCCUCGUCGGGUAAUUUCCGACGUGCAUGAAUGGAUCAACGAGGAUCCCACUGUCCCAAGUCAUGCCUCCGUGAACCUACAGACCCGGGAACGGGCGGGUGUUGGUCGGCGGGGCAAGAAGACCCUUUUGAGCUUGACUCCAAUCCGAUCCUGGGGGAUGGGAUCAUCGGUGCAGCAUACAGGGGAGGCCGCUUCCAUGAGAUACCCUGACGUUGUUCACCAUCCCACUCACCGACUUACAUCGGCACACGGUCGGAUGGGGAGUUUGGCUGGGGCGGCGCGCCUGCUAGAUCACACCGCAGGCGUCCUAUGGUAAGCUCAGUGAGGUCGGAAACCUCACGUGGAGCAUAAGGGCAUAAGCUUACUUGACUAGUACCCCCUGUCCCGGUACUUGCCGUGAAAGCGUGGCCUAACGAUCCUUCAACCGCUCCGGUAAUCCGAGCGUGGAGGUGACAGAAAAGUUACCACAGGGAUAACUGGCUUGUGGCCGCCAAGCGCCCAUAGCGACGUGGCUUUUUGAUCCUUCGAUGUCGGCUCUUCCUACCGUCCGCAUGCAUCGGUGCGGAAGCGUCGGAUUGUUCACCCGUCUAAGGGAUCGUGAGCUGGGUUUAGACCGUCGUGAGACAGGUUAGUUUUAUCCUACCGACCAUCUCCAUGCGUCCAGUACGUCGGGUCAGUACGAGAGGAACACCCGUCGCGAGCCUCCGAUCUCCCGGUUGUUUGACUUGACAGUGCCGGUCUGUCGCGCUCGGGGGACUAGCACUGAACGCCUCUAAGUGUCCAUCCCACCUACUCGCAUGGGUUGAGGGGCUUCCCCUCGAUUCGCCCGGGUUGACGACCCUUUUCUCCGACCUACUGUACGGCGUGGAGCUUCUUGCGACCGCCUGAGGUUUGGUUCGGGUUGGCAUUCCCCCCGAG